rnacentral:lncRNA from 1 species
CUUCCUCUUCCGAGCCUGAAGAGGCCAGCAGAUAUUAGACCUCGCAAUGACCAGUCGCGGAGCCUAGGCGUGGAAGCUAUCCAAGUGGGCGAGGUGCUCCGUGCCAUUUCCCAAAAGAUCCGGAUGAUCUGCAACAACCAGAGCAAGCAGAGCACGAGGGCGAAGAGUAUUUCAUUAAGAAACUCUGGAACAAGGCAAAGAACGCAGUGAAGCAAGUCGGCAAGGUCGUCGAGAAAACUGCGAAGGGCGUGAUCACCUCGAAGGCAGCUGACAUUGUGAAGAAGUUCCUACAAGACAAGCUCGGAGCAUAUGCCCUAGAAGAAACAAGACAUACCGGAUUUCCGCCAGGACCUUGCAGAUGAACUUGAUCGUGCAGGCGAUGCCCUAAUCCAAAAGGGAACACAGCUCUGCUCUUGCCGGGGCCGUAAGCACCUUGAUGAACAGGAGAGAAAGUUUGUCCAGGGCAUCGUCGAAGCUCUCUGAUACAUAAUUUUGAUA